rnacentral:rRNA from 1 species
CAAUUGGAGAGUUUGAUCCUGGCUCAGGACGAACGCUGGCGGCGUGCCUAAUACAUGCAAGUCGAGCGGAGC